rnacentral:rRNA from 1 species
GACGAACCGUGCAAACGUUGUUCGGAAUCACUGGGCUUAAAGGGCGCGUAGGCGGGCCAGCCAGUCUGUGGUGAAAGCCCCCGGCUUAACCGGGGAAGUGCCGUGGAUACUGCUGGCCUCGAGGAGGAUAGGGGCAUCUGGAACGGUCGGUGGAGCGGUGAAAUGCGUUGAUAUCGACCGGAACUCCGGUGGCGAAGGCGAGGUGCUGGGUCCUUUCUGACGCUGAUGCGCGAAAGCCAGGGGAGCAAACGGG